rnacentral:rRNA from 1 species
GACGAACGCUGGCGGCGUGCCUAAUACAUGCAAGUUGAGCGAUGAAGAUUGGUGCUUGCACCAAUUUGAAGAGCAGCGAACGGGUGAGUAACGCGUGGGGAAUCUGCCUUUGAGCGGGGGACAACAUUUGGAAACGAAUGCUAAUACCGCAUAACAACUUUAAACAUAAGUUUUAAGUUUGAAAGAUGCAAUUGCAUCACUCAAAGAUGAUCCCGCGUUGUAUUAGCUAGUUGGUGAGGUAAAGGCUCACCAAGGCGAUGAUACAUAGCCGACCUGAGAGGGUGAUCGGCCACAUUGGGACUGAGACACGGCCCAAACUCCUACGGGAGGCAGCAGUAGGGAAUCUUCGGCAAUGGACGAAAGUCUGACCGAGCAACGCCGCGUGAGUGGAGAAGGUUUUCGGAUCGUAAAACUCUGUUGAUAGAGAAGAACGUUGGUGAGAGUGGAAAGCUCAUCAAGUGACGGUAACUACCCAGAAAGGGACGGCUAACUACGUG